AGGGUUUGAUUCUGGCUCAGGAUGAACGCUGGCGGCGUGCUUAACACAUGCAAGUCGAACGAAGCAUUUAGAACAGAUUACUUCGGUUUGAAGUUCUUUAUGACUGAGUGGCGGACGGGUGAGUAACGCGUGGGUAACCUACCCUGUACAGGGGGAUAACAGUCAGAAAUGACUGCUAAUACCGCAUAAGACCACAGCACCGCAUGGUGCAGGGGUAAAAACUCCGGUGGUACAGGAUGGACCCGCGUCUGAUUAGCUGGUUGGUGAGGUAACGGCUCACCAAGGCGACGAUCAGUAGCCGGCUUGAGAGAGUGAACGGCCACAUUGGGACUGAGACACGGCCCAA
rnacentral:rRNA from 1 species